GAGCAAGCAAACUCAGAUGAGACUUGUGUUGAUGUUCCUGUAGACCAAAAGUGUGUUUCCUCUCUGGGCAGCUGUUCCAGCACCUCACCACUUCCUCGACAUCCAACCUAAAUCUCCCCUCCUUCAACUUCAAACCAUUUCCCCUUGUCCUGUUGUUAUCUGCCCUUUCAAAGAGUGGACUCUCCUCCUGCUUGUAGGCUCCCUUUAGGUACUGAAAGGCUGCAAUGAGGUCACCCCACAGCCUUCUCUUCUCCAGGCUGAACAAGCCCAGCUCCCUCAGCCUGUCUUCGUAGGGGACGUGCUGCAGCCCCCUGAUUGUCUUUGUGGUCUCCUCUGGACCCUCUCCAACAGCUCCCUGUGCUCAUGCCAUUGUGCCC
rnacentral:lncRNA from 1 species